rnacentral:lncRNA from 1 species
UUUUAUUUUUUAGAGCUAUACUUCAGAAGUGCAGAGCAGCCUGAGGGCCCUUUUUCUCCAUUUUAUUUUGUGUGUCUUCUUAAAAAUUGUAUCUUGGCUAGAACUACUCUUUCUUCCUUGGUGGUUUUAUAACUCACAAGGUGAAUGGUGAUACCCUGAAAGAUCAACAGGAAUACCCUCAGGGUGGGAAUAUAAAUCUAGUCCCUCUUACUCUAUCCUGCCCAGAAGUGGAAAUAUGAUCCUUCCAUUAUAAAAUAAAGAAUGGUCCUAAGAUUUGAGAACUCCAAAAGGACUUAGUGUUACGGUGAACAACCAUUUGGGACUGUUUAUCUACUUGCUAUCUCUCUUUUGAGAGAGAAUAAUGUCUCAAGAGCUCCAUUCUCUGAUGCCUGCAGUAUGUUAUGAAUCAGUAGAGAAUCUUUCUGUCUGUGCUUGGAUCUUGGGUAAGUGCUCAGCUUUCUCUCUUACCUCUUAGGCCCACUUAUAAGUCACACCCUGUCUUAGUCUGUUUUGCACGGCUGUAACAGAAUACCAUAGACUAGGUAAUUUCUAAUAAACAGAUAUUUAUUUCUCACAGUUAUGGAAGCUAGUAAGUCUAAGAUCAAAGUGCCAGCGUCUUGAAAGGGCCUUCUUGCUGCAUCAUGGUGGAAGGCAUCACAUGGUGAAAAGACAAACAUAAGGAGAAAAAGAGCGCAAGAGUGGGCAAAUCCACUCCUGUGACAAUGAACCCACUCUUGUGAUAAUGUCAUUAAUUUAUUCACUCUGACUUCACAGCCUAAACACCUCUCAUUAGGCCUCAUCUCACAACACUGUUGCUUUGGGGACUAAGUUUCCAACACAUGUUUUUGGCGGACAAAUUCUGACCAUAGCAUACUCUCACCCAGUUCAGUCCCUUUGCUUGUUUCUUCCUCUGGUAGAGUACUCCUCUGUUAUUCUUCUCUAGCAAAUUCCACCCAUCAUCUCAAUUCCACUUUUAAGCUCUAUUUCUACAGGAAAGCCUUCCCCAUCUGUCUAAUUUCCAGCUCUAUAAAAUCAUGCUAGCUUUGUUUGGACAAGAUACUCGUGCGGUCCCUUCCAUCACUGAAGUAAGUUUUGUGGGACUAAGAUUACUCUCUCCCAUCCCUAAAUUACAGUAUCUGGCAUUAACUGACCCUGAAUUAUAUUCUAAAAUUGGAACAUAUAUUUUCUUCACUCUUAUCUGACAAGCUGCCCAUCAUCAGUAAGUUGAAAAUAUAUCUUGUUAAACAAAUAGAUGAAUGACAUUUUUUCCUACUCAUUUAAUGCAUGUAUUUUUUUCCUUUUUUGCUCAGAAAACAAGUUUCUUGAAGGCAGGGGAAAUGUUUUUUGCUCUUUUGAUAUUGCAUGCAGAAUCUGCAUUAUCCUGGAGGCAUUGUUGAGUGUCUGCAAGGACUCUGAUUCCAAGAAGCCAUUGGCAGCCUAAUUUUCCAGAAUCAUAGUACUAGACACAGCUGUUAAUAUAUAGCCCUGAAAUAAAUAUGUGUUGAAUGAACAAUUAGGUGGCUGUGGAAUGAGAGUUUAGCAAGACGGUCAUGCUUACACAGAGAAACAAAGACGCAGAUAGUGCAGACAUGCUCACAAUUUGUUUGCUUGAUACAUUUGCUACUUUGAGGCUUAUACUUAAUGUGAGUCUGUGAAUGAUUUACAGGUAUACUCAUACACUGAGAUGAAGAACUUUAUUAUAAAUCUCCUUCCUUGUACUGUAGGAUACUGUGCAUUUUUCAAUGCUGUAAACAUAAAUAGAAAAGUGUUUUGUCUGUGACAAGAUGUCAGCUGGAAAACCUUUUAAAGAUGCAGAGUUUUAAAUUUGAGUUCUCAUUAUUAUAUUGUCCUGAUUCAAGGGGUAAGCACAAAAAUGUUCUAUAUUUAUAAAUCUUAUCCCAUAAAUCUUUUAUUAUAAGAAAAAAAAAUAAAAUUCUCAUAUAAAAGUAAUACAUAUAAAAAUAGUGUUAAACAAAAAUAAGAAAAUAAAACCCAACUCUAUCUCCAAUAUAGAUCACCACUAAUAACAUUUCAGUACAUAUUCUCUCAUUCUUUUUAUAUACAUACUUUAUUCAAAAAUACAAUUAUAUUGAACAUAUUAUUUUGUUAUAUGCAUUUUCAUUUAGUGAUAUGAAAACUAUUCAGCAUAUACUCAUAAAAAUUCUCCACCUCAUCAUUUUUCACUGCUGCUUAGCAUUUUAAUGUAUGGAAACACUGUAAUUUACUUAUCCAAACCUCCAAUUCAGGUCAUUUGGUUGUUUCCAAUAUUUUUGCUGUCAUAAAAUUAGAAAAAUAAGUAUCCUUGCAGCUAAAGCAAGUGACUUAUUUUCCUUAAAAUAAAUCCCUAAAAGUAGAAUCAUUGGGUUAAAAAGUAUGCAAAAUUCUAAGGCUUUUGACAUCAAAACUACCCCCUAAAAAUAUUGUGUCAAUCUAAUCUCCCAACAAUGAACGGGGUAUUUUUUAAAUGUGAUUUCAUGUGUACUUAUAACUUUUAUGCAGGAAAAGUUUAAAAUUAAGUGGUUGAGGAAAUUAGGGUGCAGAAGAAUCAAGAGCACACAGCAUUAAUACCAGAAUUAUAAUCCCACUUUUUGUAUUUCUUGUUCUCUUAUAACAGUGCUUAUUGCAUCCACUCAAGUGGCAUUUGAAAAAAGGCUGGAAGAUUCCCUGAGUAAAAUUAGGGCUUUUAUUCAAGCACAUAUUGAAAACAAAAGUUAAAUGGGCUGCAAAAACUAUGAUGAUAAUAGGAUGGGUCAUGCUUUACGCUGAUCUCUGCAAUUUAUUUGCCAUCAGGAGGCAGGAAAAGGUCAGUUUUGUUCUUUUUCCAAGAAUAAAGUGUAAUUUUCCUGAGAAGAUGGUCUCUUUUCUACCUUGCCAUUUGUUGUUAUAAUCACAAACUAUGAAACUUUGCUUUGUACCCAAACUGACAUUCAUGAAAUUAAUACUUCCAGUUUGAUUAGCUCAAAUAGAGAUUAAAAAUGUGUUUUUAUAUUUCCUCAUAAAACAUUAGCUCUUCUUAAAAUAUUUUAAAUUACAGAUUAUCUCACUACAUACUUUGAGGCAGGCUUGAAGAGGUUGAUUUCUUUCUAAAAAUAAGAUCCUAAUUCUGAUAUAAUUUGUUGCUCUCGAUCUAGUUAUUUUACGAUCUUUAAUUUUUCCAUGAUGCCACUGUGAAAGAAAAAAAAAUAUGCGCACACAAAUACAAAACCAGAACCUGAUGCAAUUCCUCAUUGCCUAGGAGUACCUUAAUUCUCCUUAACCUGAUACCUACCUUUCAAUUUUUAAGCUUGCUAUUCUGAGGUAGAUUGGUUGCACAAAUGACACAAUUGUCACUGCUCUUCUAAGGCCAUAACUUUGUCCAUCAAGCUUCCCAUGAAAAGAUCAACAAAAGUGAUAGACUGCUAGCAAGACUAAUAAAGAAGAAAAGAGAGAAGAAUCAAAUAGACACAAUAAAAAAUGAUAAAGGGGAUAUCACCACCAAUCCCACAGAGAUACAAACUACCAUCAGAGAAUACUAUAAACAACUCUACGCAAAUAAACUAGAAAACCUAGAAGAAAUGGAUAAAUUCCUGGACACAUACACCCUCCCAAGACUAAACCAGGAAGAAGUUGAAUCCCUGAAUAGACCAAUAACGGGCUCUGAAAUUGAGGCAAUAAUUAAGAGCCUACCAACCAAAAAAUGUCCAGGACCAGAUGGAGUCACAGCCGAAUUCUACCAGAGGUACAAAGAGGAGCUGGUACCAUUCCUUCUGAAACUAUUCCAAUCAAUAGAAAAAGAGGAAUCCUCCGUAACUCAUUUCAUGAGGCGAGCAUAAUCCUGAUACCAAAGCCUGGAAGAGACACAACAAAAAAAGAAAA